CGAUUCAGGACCAGAUCACACCAUGAUGCUGACACAUCUGCUAGGCCUACUGCUAAUAGCAGCACACAGUGUGAGGAGUGAUGUUGUUCUUACUCAGCCGAGCUCCAUGGUGACCCAGCCUGGGCAGACUCUACGCCUCUCCUGUAAUGUGGCUGGAUAUUCACUGACUAGUACCGAUUACCGCACUAGUUGGAUAAGGCAGCCUGCAGGGAAAGCACUGGAGUGGAUAGGGCACAUUUGCUAUGUUGGGAACACAGCUUACAGUGAUAAACUGAAAAACAAGUUCAGCAUCUCCAGAGACACCUCCAGCAGCACAGUGACUCUACAGGGCCAGAAUAUGCAGCCUGAGGACACAGCUGUGUAUUACUGUGCCCGAGAGUCACACUGA